UAAAAAGGUCUGGGAGUUUGAGGUAAAAAUGUAAAAUAUUAUAAUUUGAUAUUCGGGUUAUUUGAAUUAUUCGAGUUCAAAAACCAAACUCAAUUCGAACUCGAAAUUCAAAAAAAAAUUGAGUUGACUCGAAUAACUUGAUUAAUUUAAAUAACUUGAUUCGUUUAACUCGAAAUUUAAUUUUUUUCGAUUUUUUUGAGUCAAAUCGAAAUUUUCUCACCCUUAACUACAUCCGCUGCCAUGCCAACCUAGUUUGACCUCUACUGUGCCAAAAUAUCCACUCUCCACUUGAGAGCCUUCUUCUGUCCAGCUCGGUGUUAGCCUUUGGAUAAGAAUAAAAUGUUAAAGAUACUGACUACUUGGAAAUAGAGAAAAAAAGUUACAUCGAUUACAUUGGAUGUCCCCAAAGUUUUUUCAUAUGAUUAUGACCCUAAUAUUAUGUUUGGUAUAUAUAGGGCACCAUUUGCAGGUAUCCAAAAAACUUGAACUCUUGACCAUGUAAUGACCGUCACCUAGCCCCCCAGUUCCACUCGAACCCGUGGCCACAUCACGGCAUCCAGCUGGGACCUCCACCUAGACUUCGACCCUUGAUCAUAUCAAGCAUUAUUACCCCGAAACCUGAUUUUCCCACGAUGAGUUUUUGAGGUGAUGGUCCUAUCCUGCCAUGACAUAUGAAAUGUAUUUGUUCUGAAGCACGUUAUCACAUCCCGGACCCCUCUAAUCUACUUAUGAACUUUUUUGGUUUCAAUAAAAAAUUUUAAUUCAUAAAUCUAAAAACCAUAACCCUAAGAAAAUUAAAAACCUGAACCUAGGAGAGGAAAGAGAAAGGAAAAGUGCGUUUAGCUGGACACGCUUUCCUGCCAACUAUACAGAAAAUGCACCCACUUUUCAUUUCUUUCUUCUAAAACCAACCUAUUUCCUUAAUUAAAAAAAAGUCCUAAAGGCUUAAUUAAAAAAAACCUUGUAAUCCCCAAUUGGUGCCCGGGGCCCAAACUUAAUACAAACCCAAAUACAACACUCAGCCCAAAUACUUUUAAACCCAAAAAAUGGCCCAAAACACAAUAAUCCACACUGGCCCAAUACCUAGCCCUAACAAUUCUCAACAGCAGAAACCUUAGGUAGUUUUCGUGCUUCAGUGCCGCAGCAACCGCUUCCACGCCCCACGUUCAUCACUCGCGCAUGUCCUCCACGACCUUUACACCUACGGAAAAACUAAUCCAAACGACAGUAGAUGUGGCAAAUAACGGGAUAGAUAGUUUUUAUGAUUAUUUUGGUACAUCUCGGCUAUAAAGAGACUGAUUUAAAUCUAUAAAAUGUGGGGGUUUAGAAAUUUUUUGGUACUGAAAUCAAAAAGAAAAUAUACAGAAAAAUAGUUUUGAAGGUAGAAUUUUGUUUUAUUUUUCUCUGUUCUUUUACUGCCUUUUUUAAGUUAUUUUGGUUCUUUUCUUUUUAUUUCUUAAAAACAAAACACGAAAAGGGUGAGGGGGAGGAGGACUUACCGUCAAGAGAUUCGUUGGGCGCUCUCGUUAGCCGUUAUCUGGUCGGAAAAGGGAGGAGAUUGGAACGGCAGAGGAGGGGUUUUGAGAGGAGUUGCGGCGCACCACAAAAGUGGCAGAGAAAGGGAAUGACUUUAGGGUUUUUAAAAUGGGAUUUUAUUAGGGUUCAAAAGGGGCCAUUUGCGCUAUUGGUCCUUUGCUUUUUGGGGUUGUUUAAAUUAAAUUUAUUAUUUCCUUUAAAUUUUACUGCAUGUUUUAUAAUUGUUUUAAAUUGGUCCUAUGCUGCGCAACAUUGUAGGUUUGGGUAAAUUUCUCGUUCAGUCCUCCCCCUGUUGUGCGUGUUUUAAUUUACUCCCUUUCAUGUUAUUUUGUAAUUAGUUUUUUAAAUUCUGUUUUUUUUAAUUUAAUCCUUAAUUUAUUAUUUUUAGUUUUUAUUAUAUUGUCAAUAUGGUUCAUUUACGUUAUUAUUACUGUAUGGUUAUUAGUUCAUUAUUAUAUGUUAUAUUAUUAUUAUAUUUGUUUAUAUGCGCAUAUGCCUCUUAAUAUACAUAUAUAUACCUUUUUAAAACGUUUUAAAUAUAUACUAUAUACAUAUCAUAUAUUUUAUUAUUAUUUUAUUUUUCUUAGCUUUAUAUUCAUAUGUAUGCGUAUAUAUUUUUAUAAUAUUUAUAUUUUUUAUAUCUUAUGAUCCAAAAAUAAAUAUUUUUUAUAAUAUGUAUACACAUAUACUUACGUUAUUCCAUAUUUUUAUAAAUAUAUCCGUUAAAUUAUAUAUAUAUAUAAACAUACAUAUGUCAAUACUUUUUAUAAUUACUAAAUAUUAUGCUUAUAUUUUAGUUUUUAUAAACUUUAUAUAUAUAUUUAUUAUGUUUAUUAUUUUUGUAUACAUGAAUAUAUAUGCAUCAAUAUUUUGUCAUACUUUAAAAAAUAAAUAUUUUGAUUUUAUCAAAACAUUAAAAUUAUUUUUAUGAUUCAAAGGUUUUCAAAAUAAAAAACGAUAUUCAAAGUUAGGGAUUCUCGAGGAAAAUUGAGCCCUAACGCAUUGAGUUCCGAUUUUCUUUGUUAAUUCUAAAUAACCGAGAAUAUGAGUUAUUUAAAAUAUAUAAAUAAAAAUCAUUUUCGGGAAUUCAAUAUGUUAUGUCCUAACGCAUUGGGCAUGACAUAUUGCUUUCUCGAAAUGAAGAUUUUCUUUAAUUUUUUUUUUAAAAGGUGAUAUUCAAAAUUCGGGGAUUUUGAGAAAAUUUAUCCUAACGUAUUGGGUUUCAAUUUCUUCGCAUGACUUGAAUACUUGAUUAUCCUUUUCGGAUUUCAAUAUUUGAGUUUAACAAAAUCUUUUUAAUUUUCGAUACCAAGACAUUAAAUAAUCAAUUUGGUACCGAUUUUUGGGCGUUACGAGGGUGCUAACCCUUCCUCGUGCGUAACUGACUCCCGAACCCAUUUUCUCAAAUUUCGUAGACCAAAUUUGUUUUUAAGGUGAGCCGGUCACACCUAAAUCAUGGAUCGGUGGCGACUCCAAUUUUUUUUUUCGAUAACCAAAUUUUUGUUUAAAAAUGGUUUCGACAGCUUGGCGACUCCGCUAGGGACUGGUUAGAGAGUCGAGCCGUAAAUUGAUUAAUUUUUGUCUUUUGGUCGAAAAGUCAAAUUUUGUUUUAAAAUUCAUGAUUUCCCCUUUGCAUUCAUGGGUUCUUAUUAUGAUAUGUUUGUUUAAUUGGUCUAAGUUUGUUAGUGUGUUUGCAUUUUGCAUUACAUGGACGAUUUUACCCCUCUAAGUGGGAGUGAGAAGCUACUCCUUCGUGAGGUGUUCACCUCCGUGCAGGAUAGUGGAUCGCUUUCGGGAUACAUCUGUACCUAUGUCUUCAUGAGAUUUUCAUCUCUGUGUAGCCAUAGGGAAAUGUAUUCCCCUGAACUGAACUCGGUCUAUAUGAGCCUAUAAUGGGUGAGGAUCGAGGAAUCUGCUGGUUCGGGUACCCUUGCUCUAGAAGCUAAACCUCAUAUAGUGAACUUUAGGAACUUACCAUAGGUAGAAUUAUACCAAACCCUAGUAGUUACCCAAGUAGGUAUUUCAUUAUUUUCUGUUUGUUUUUAUACCUGAUACUGACUUGUUGUGUUUUGUUUUGACUGCAUGACAUUUUGAUUGCAUUGCAUUUUCAUCUUAGAAAAGAAAUGUUGAUUCAAGUUCGAUUACUGACUUAGAAAGCUUGUCAUGGAAUACGGAUUUCUUGAUAAAAUGGAAGAUAAUACAGUUGCCCGAAUAUAUCUUGAGAAACACGAUAAGGGCGAUGGAAGAGUUCAUGACUUUGUGGCCCGAGGAUUCAAGAUGAUUAUUCGAGAGCUGUCGACAUUCCAAAUUCCUUAAAGAAGCUAAUAAGCCUUACGAGGAUGGGCAGACGAUGGAUUGCAACCAAUAUCAAGUAAAAAGGAGCUAGUAGUGCUGUUCAUUGGAAAUUUGCGAGAUUUAUCUUAAACAUCCAGAUGAAGUAAGAGGUCGAUGUUUCUUGGAGUAUGAGGGCGAGGCCGUACAUGCAUCCGUUUUGUGUAAAGAAGUUUGUCUUCUAGUGAAGUUUUCUAAAUAGAAUUGAAUCAGAAUCAACGUCUCUUUAUGCAUUCAUUUCAUGCAUUCGCAUUACAUGACAUCAUAUGCAUUAAAAUCCAUUAAAAAGGCCUAAUUGGGUAAAAUUGUUUCAAUCAAUUUGGAAAAUCGACACCCUUAUGGCACCCAAGUAAAGACUAGAGAAAUGGACCAAAGGUUGGAGAAAUUAGAGCGAAUGUAAAUACAGAUGCAAGAGCAACUAACUGAAUUUCAACAGGAAAUGAGAGAUAUGAUAAUGGAAUUACAGAGAGCUAUUACGAAUCAGUUAACCCGGUUGCUAGCUGGAGAGUUAGAGAAGGGAAAGACUCAGUGGUUCAUUAUGUGGUUGAUAAUGAGGAUCUUGCCUAUUCCCUAGGUUGUACUCCAAUAAAUGUCCAGGUCCAGCCAGAUGGGCGUCCACAAGAGGCACUCUUUACUAUUAGAUCCCAACAAUAUCAAACUGGCACAUCGACACCAGUAAGUUGCUUGACAGGCUUAGGAUCCAAUUUGAGGAACAAUUUAGCUAAUCCUAUUGCUAUUGAUAGCCCAGCAGAAGUAAAGUAGGCAAGGGAAGGGUACCCAAAUACUACAAAGGCCCUAAAAAAGAAGGGGAAUAAGAGGGAUAAUGCAGAUAGAUAUAACAAGGGUCACUCAAAACUAAUCACUGUGGGCCGGCCAAGGAUAGAAACUACUAGCCAUCCGAGCCCUUUAAAGCAAGAAUCUUGCACGAAGACAAAUACAGAAAGGCCUCAGUUCACGCCUAUACCGAUGUCAUAUAGCGAGCUAUAUGAGAGCCUAUUUAAUGCAUACGUCGUUGCCCCUUUCUACUUAAAGCCUUUGCAACCUCCGUAUCCUAAAUGGUAUGAUGCAAAUGCUCAGUGUGAAUACCAUGCGAGAAUUGCGGGGCUUUCGAUAGAAAAUUGCACUACUUUCAAGAAACUAGUUGAGAGGUUCAUCAAUAGGGGUAUUGUCAAGUUUGAUGACUCAUCUAAUCUGCUACCCAAUCAUGUUAAUAAUGGGGUAAGAGUGAGAGCAAGAAGGGGAUUAGUUAUUUCUGAUUCAAGAGGUAACCAUAGAAAUGCAUUGAACCAUCGUGAGUUCCAUCACGAGAAGAGAUACGAUACCCAAGAGAGUGUGGAACUCAAGACCUUGGUUUCGGGCAUGAUUGAUGACAAAGAGAUAGAGUUUUGUGAGGAAAUUAAAGAGGAGAGAAAUAUACACACAAUGUUGAGAAGUGUUCACAUCAAUGCCAUAUAUGAAGACACUUGAAAAGGGACCUUGUUAGAUAUCCACUCUUAUAAAUUUGGGAGUGUUCUAAAAAUCAGAUUGUAGAGGAAAUUUCUGUAGUUUUAGAACUUACUUAGAGUAAUGUUCAAAACACACUUGUUGCUUUUAGCCUAGAGGCAAUAAGAAUUCCAUUGUGAAAUAGGCUCAUGUUUGAACGUCAUUAUUCUAUGAAUACAUCUUUGCAUUCAUUUUUGAGCCAAUAUUCUUUCAUUCUUUUCGAAUAAUUCUAGAUUCUUUCAUUCUUUUAGAUUUUUUCCAAAUCAUUCAUUCAUUUAAUUCAUAAUCAUAUUGUACAGAUAACUAUUCAUAAAUUUAACAUUCUUUUGUAUAUUCUUUGGUAUUUAUUAUGGGCCCCCAAAUAUCAAUGACUUGAAUGACACUGCUACAGAUUUAGAAUCUCCUUUUGAGCAAGACAUGUGUUUAGAGGGAUCUCAUGACUUUGAAGAUGACAUAGAUCGUAGCCUAUCUCCAGACUUGUUGAGGAUGGUAGAGCAAGAAGAGAACAAAUUUUACCUCUUGAAGAGACACUGGAGAUUGUGACCUCGAGGGAACAUGUAUAACCGGAGAAACGAAGCAAGACCUUGUUAAGUUACUUCAAGAGUUCAAAGAUGUCUUCGUAUGGUUAUACCAGGAUAUGCCUAGGUUAAGCACUGAUAUUGUAAUCUGACCAAUAGCACAACGUUAAAAAUUUGCAGUAUGUUCAAGAUUCACAUCAUGAACGAUACAGUUAGAAUUCUUUACCGAGGUAAUACCUUCUUCUCUGACUUAUCCCGUUGAAGUCAAGUUGUCAUUUUUUCGUAUUUUUGUUGGAUUUCAUCCUAAUUGAAGAGAAAGAUCCAAAGUUUUUUCAUCUUAGUUAAAUUUCGCCCUAAAAGGCUCUACGAGAGAAACCUAACACCAAAGAAGAUCUUUCGCAUACAAAAUGAAAGUGGAAGAUCUUAUGGGGAAGACCUUAUCUAGAAUAAUAUUGAUUCUGAUCAAAAGGGAUGACCAGGAUUUGCCUAGUCCCAUGGAUGCAGAUUCAAUGCAAAAAAAACAAAAAAAACAAAAACAAAAGCAAAAACAAAAACAAAAAAAAAGAGGGAAAAAGGAAAAAAAAAUAAGAAAAAAAAACAAAAACAAAAAGAAACAAAAAAAACCUCCACCGGGGCAAUGCCUUUCUCUUUAGCUUAUCAUGGUUUUUCCAUUGAAGUUGAAAUUCUUUUUCUCUGGGUAUUGGCUGAGUUGAAGUAGGAUGAAGAUCCAAUCUCGAUAUGAUCAGUUGAACUUAAUUGAAGGAAAAAGGCUAAAAGUUAUUCGUCACGGUCAGAUGUACCAAAAACGGAUAAUGCGAGCUUACAACAAAAAGGUUCGUCUCAGAGAAUUCCACGACAGAGAUUUGGUAUUGAAAAGAUCCUUCAUCUACAAAAAGAUUUUUUAGAGAAAUGAGUGCCAAAUUGGGAAUGUCCUUAUGUUGUAAAGAAUACCUUUUCUGGAGGAGCACUGAUUUUGAGUGAGAUGGAUAGUAAAAACUUGUCUAAUCCUAUAAACUCAGAAUCAGUCAAGAAAUACUUCGCUUAAAGAAGGAGAGGACCAAGGUAAAAAUCCGCAAAGGGCACUUUGAGUCGCAAAAAAAAAGAGAAGAAAAAAUAUGUGAAAAAACAAAAAUGGAAAAAUGAAAAAUUAAAAAUAGAAAAAGUAAAAAUGGAGAGGCUAAGGUGAAAACUCGCAAAGGGCGCCUUAGACCAAAAGGGAUUUGAGUUGAAAACCCGAAAAGGGUGGCUCAAAUUUUGAUCAGAAUAGGGCUGGAAAUGAUUAGAGUGGCUCAGAUUUUGAUUGGAAUGGGGCGUGUGGUGGUCUUGAUAUACCUGAAUCAACAGGAAAAGGUAUGCGACAUCUUGGGGCAUCGACAAAGUAUUGUAGAUAUCCUAAACACAUGUCAAACUCAGAAUGGUCUUUAGGAAGUUUGUACAGAGAAGUUCAAGCUGCGUUAUCUGGGGCACCUAGUCUUCAUACUAUUUAUAUUGAAUUGCUUAUUCUUGGAAUACUUCAUUCUUUUCAAGAUAUGAGUCAAUUCCUCUUUUAUUCUCAAUAUUAUUGAUAUAUUCAUUUCAAGCUAUGCUCUCAAAUCAAUUAUAUUUUAUCCAUUGUUUUAUUCUUUUGGCAAGCGUGUUGUAUUAGAAUAAUGAUUAAUGGACUAAUAAAACUUUCACAAAGGAAGUUUUACAUAUUACUCUAGAAGUUUCUAAAUAAUACAGGAACCUGAAACAAGUCUAUUGUUUAGAAUACACCUAGUUUAAAGGUGGGAAAUCUAAGAAGGAAGAGUCUAAAUUAAGACUAUCUCUUUGGAUUUUGUUGUCAAAGGAAUUAAUUGAACAAAAUGACAAGAUGUCGUGUUGGUGAUAAAGCUUCAUUGAGCAAAUAAGCAAUGAUGAUCAGGCAAUAGAAAGAGGUUACCUCGAAGAAGAGAGCCUUCAUUUUUGCAUGAGUCUUUGGUAUGACACCUUGGGAACGGUGUAAAGAACUAGAACAAUUUAGGUCUUGUAUCCUUGAAUUGUGAUAAGGAAGGAUUGAGGAAAAGCCACAUAUUUUUACCAUUGGGUUACGGUGGAAAAACGAUAGUACAAUUUUUACAUCCCAGUGGAUUAAACUUUGAGGUUUACAGUGGGGGAAACCUGAUUAAAUGUUUCUUCUGAAAAGCCAGCUAAGCAAGAAGGCGUUGUAGCACGUCAGAGAUAAAGCCUUAAUAAACUUUGAGCAAUGAUAACCUAAGAAGGAUCAUUCUUGAAAAAAAAUAGAAUAAAAUUUUGCAUUCAUGCAAACACCAUUCACACCUGUCUAGUUAGGAGCAUUGGAUUCAUUUUGAUCAUGCCAUUAGGCAUAAUUAGGUUCAUUAUACAGGUUAUGUUUUAUAGAGAACAGAUCAGGGGAAAUGGCAGAUCUUGCCUUCCUGCAUAGACAGCGAAGCAGAUCAAAGAUGGCAGAUUUUACCUUCCUGUGGUUACAGUGGAGUACAUUGAAGCCAGUAAUUCUACUUCCCUGGGCAGCAGUGGAAUAGAUUGAAGAUUUCAGAUCUUGUCUCCCUAAGCAGUAGUGGAGUAGAUCAAAGAUGACAGAUUUUACCUCCCUGUGGUUACAGUGGAGUACAUUGAAGCCAAUAAUUCUACUUCCUUGGGCAGCAGUGGAAUAGAGUGAAGAUUACAUAUCUUAUCUCCCUAAGAAGUAGCAGAGUAGAUCGAAUACACUAACCUUGCCUCCCUUGGUGGCAGCGGAGCAGGUUAAAAAAAAUUUACAGAUCUUAUCUCCCUAGGCAGUAGCGGAGUAGAUCGAAGACACUAACCUUGCCUCCCUCGGUGGCAGCGGAGCAGGUUAAAGAUAGCAAAUCUUACCUUCCUAUACUGACAGUGAAGCAGAUCGAAGACGCUAACCUUGCCUCCCUCGGUGGCAGCGGAGCAGGUUAAAAAAAUUACAGAUCUUAUCUCCCUAAGCAGUAGUGGAGUAGAUCGCAACCAGCCUUGUCUCCCUGGCAAUAGUGGAGUAGGUUGAAAAUAGCAGAUCUUGCCUUCCUGUACUGACAGAGAAGCAAAUCGAAGAUACUAACCUUGCCUCCCUCGGUGGCAACGGAACAGGUUAAAGAUAGCAGAUCUUGCCUUCCUGUACUGGCAGUGAAGCAGAUCGAAGACACCAGUCUUAUCGCCUUGACGAUUGAAGCCACAAUGGCAAAUCUUAUUUCCUUGGCGUUGUAGCGGAGUAGAUUGAAGCCACGAAGGCGUAUAUUAUCUCCCUGGCGUUAAGGCUUGGUUUAGCUGAAGUGGAGCGGAUUGAAGUUGUGGGAGGCGAAUCCUAUCUCUUUGGCAUUACAGUGGAACGGAUUGAAGCCACAACGGCAGGUCUUAUCUCCCUGAGGUUGCAGUGGAGCGGAUUAAAACCACAGAUCUUACUCUCUGAAGUUGUAGAGAGCAGAUCGCAUCAGACUUAUCUUUAAAGUUUUAGCAAAAUAAGUUGAAGUUACAAGUCUUAACUCCCUGAAGUUGCAGUGAGGCAGACUAAAGAUAACAGAUUUUGUUCUUUUUAGAAGCUACAAGGUACAAAUCUUAUCUCCCUGAUGUUGCACUGGAGUGGAUCAAAGUACCAAUUCUUAUACCUCUGAAGAUGCAAUUGGUUAGAACGAGGUUACUUGAAGAAGAGAAGCACUGAAGAAGUUGAGGCUCGGUAAGACCGGGCACAAUUGGGCUUUUUAGUCUUUGCUCUGUUCCCAUUACAUGACAACGAGCAAAGAGGGGCAGCUAUAAUACCCAAUUGGUGCUCGGGGCCCAAACUUAAUACAAACCCAAAUACAACACUCAGCCCAAAUACUUUUAAAUCCAAAAAAUGGCCCAAAACACAAUAAUCCACACUGGCCCAAUACCUAGCCCUAACAAUUCUCAACAGUAGAAACCCUAGGUAGUUUUCGUGCUUCAGUGCCGCAGUAACCGCUUCCACGCCCCACGUUCAGCACACGUGCAUGUCCUCCACGACCUUUACACCUACGGAAAAACUGAUCCAAACGACAGUAGAUGUGGCAAAUAACGGGAUAGAUAGUUUUUAUGAUUAUUUUGGUACAUCUCGGCUAUAAAGAGACUGAUUUAAAUCUGUAAAACGUGGGGGUUUAGAAAUUUUUUGGUAUUGAAAUCAAAAAGAAAAUAUACAGAAAAAUAGUUUUGAAGGUAGAAUUUUGUUUUAUUUUUCUCUGUUCUUUUACUGCCUUUUUUUAAGUUAUUUUGGUUCUUUUCUUUUUAUUUCUUAAAAACAAAACACGAAAAGGGUGAGGGGGAGGAGGACUUACCGUCGAGAGAUUCGUUGGGCGCUCUCGUUAGCCGUUAUCUGGUCGGAAAAGGGAGGAGAUUGGAACGGCAGAGGAGGGGUUUUGAGAGGAGUUGCGGCGCACCAUAAAAGUGGCAGAGAAAGGGAAUGGCUUUAGGGUUUUAAAAUGGGAUUUUAUUAGGGUUCAAAAGGGGCCAUUUGCGCUAUUGGUCCUUUGCUUUUUGGGGUUGUUUAAAUUAAAUUUAUUAUUUCCUUUAAAUUUUACUGCAUGUUUUAUAAUUGUUUUAAAUUGGUCCUAUGCUGCGCAACAUUGUAGGUUUGGGUAAAUUUCUCGUUCAGUCCUCCCCCUGUUGUGCGUGUUUUAAUUUACUCCCUUUCAUGUUAUUUUGUAAUUAGCUUUUUAAAUUCUGUUUUUUUUUUAAUUUAAUCCUUAAUUUAUUAUUUUUAGUUUUUAUUAUAUUGUCAAUAUGGUUCAUUUACGUUAUUAUUACUGUAUGGUUAUUAGUUCAUUAUUAUAUGUUAUAUUAUAAUUAUAUUUGUUUAUAUGCGCAUAUGCCUCUUAAUAUACAUAUAUAUACCUUUUUAAAACGUUUUAAAUAUAUACUAUAUACAUAUCAUAUAUUUUAUUAUUAUUUUAUUUUUCUUAGCUUUAUAUUCAUAUGUAUGCGUAUAUAUUUUUAUAAUAUUUAUAUUUUUUAUAUCUUAUGAUCCAAAAAUAAAUAUUUUUUAUAAUAUGUAUACACAUAUACUUACGUUAUUCCAUAUUUUUAUAAAUAUAUCCGUUAAAUUUUAUAUAUAUAUAAACAUACAUAUGUCAAUAUUUUUUAUAAUUACUAAAUAUUAUGCUUAUAUUUUAGUUUUUAUAAACUUUAUAUAUAUAUUUAUUAUGUUUAUUAUUUUUGUAUACAUGAAUAUAUAUGCAUCAAUAUUUUGUCAUACUUUAAAAAAUAAAUAUUUUGAUUUUAUCAAAACAUUAAAAUUAUUUUUAUGAUUCAAAGGUUUUCAAAAUAAAAAACGAUAUUCAAAGUUAGGGAUUCUCGAGGAAAAUUGAGCCCUAACGCAUUGAGUUCCGAUUUUCUUUGUUAAUUCCAAAUAACCGAGAAUAUGAGUUAUUUAAAAUAUAUAAAUAAAAAUCAUUUUCGGGAAUUCAAUAUGUUAUGUCCUAACGCAUUGGGCAUGACAUAUUGCUUUCUCGAAAUGAAGAUUUUCUUUAAUUUUUUUUUUAAAAGGUGAUAUUCAAAAUUCGGGGAUUUUGAGAAAAUUUAUCCUAACGUAUUGGGUUUCAAUUUCUUCGCAUGACUUGAAUACUUGAUUAUCCUUUUCGGAUUUCAAUAUUUGAGUUUAACAAAAUCUUUUUAAUUUUCGACACCAAGACAUUAAAUAAUCAAUUUGGUACCGAUUUUUGGGCGUUACGAGGGUGCUAACCCUUCCUCGUGCGUAACUGACUCCCGAACCCAUUUUCUCAAAUUUCGUAGACCAAAUUUGUUUUUAAGGUGAGCCGGUCACACCUAAAUCAUGGAUCGGUGGCGACUCCAAUUUUUUUUUUCGAUAACCAAAUUUUUGUUUAAAAAUGGUUUCGACAGCUUGGCGACUCCGCUAGGGACUGGUUAGAGAGUCGAGCCGUAAAUUGAUUAAUUUUUGUCUUUUGGUCGAAAAGUCAAAUUUUGUUUUAAAAUUCAUGAUUUCCCCUUUGCAUUCAUGGGUUCUUAUUAUGAUAUGUUUGUUUAAUUGGUCUAAGUUUGUUAGUGUGUUUGCAUUUUGCAUUACAUGGACGAUUUUACCCCUCUAAGUGGGAGUGAGAAGCUACUCCUUCGUGAGGUUUUCACCUCCGUGCAGGAUAGUGGAUCGCUUUCGGGAUACAUCUGUACCUAUGUCUUCAUGAGAUUUUCAUCUCUGUGUAGCCAUAGGGAAAUGUAUUCCCCUGAACUGAACUCGGUCUAUAUGAGCCUAUAAUGGGUGAGGAUCGAGGAAUCUGCUGGUUCGGGUACCCUUGCUCUAGAAGCUAAACCUCAUAUAGUGAACUUUAGGAACUUACCAUAGGUAGAAUUAUACCAAACCCUAGUAGUUACCCAAGUAGGUAUUUCAUUAUUUUCUGUUUGUUUUUAUACCUGAUACUGACUUGUUGUGUUUUGUUUUGACUGCAUGACAUUUUGAUUGCAUUGCAUUUUCAUCUUAGAAAAGAAAUGUUGAUUCAAGUUCGAUUACUGACUUAGAAAGCUUGUCAUGGAAUACGGAUUUCUUGAUAAAAUGGAAGAUAAUACAGUUGCCCGAAUAUAUCCUGAGAAACACGAUAAGGGCGAUGGAAGAGUUCAUGACUUUGUGGCCCGAGGAUUCAAGAUGAUUAUUCGAGAGCUGUCGACAUUCCAAAUUCCUUAAAGAAGCUAAUAAGCCUUACGAGGAUGGGCAGACGAUGGAUUGCAACCAAUAUCAAGUAAAAAGGAGCUAGUAGUGCUGUUCAUUGGAAAUUUGCGAGAUUUAUCUUAAACAUCCAGAUGAAGUAAGAGGUCGAUGUUUCUUGGAGUAUGAGGGCGAGGCCGUACAUGCAUCCGUUUUAUGUAAAGAAGUUUGUCUUCUAGUGAAGUUUUCUAAAUGGAAUUGAAUCAGAAUCAACGUCUCUUUAUGCAUUCAUUUCAUGCAUUCGCAUUACAUGACAUCAUAUGCAUUAAAAUCCAUUAAAAAGGCCUAAUUGGGUAAAAUUGUUUCAGUCAAUUUGGAAAAUCGACACCCUUAUGGCACCCAAGUAAAGACUAGAGAAAUUGACCAAAGGUUGGAGAAAUUAGAGCGAAUGCAAAUACAGAUGCAAGAGCAACUAACUGAAUUUCAACAGGAAAUGAGAGAUAUGAUAAUGGAAUUACAGAGAGCUAUUACGAAUCAGUUAACCCGGUUGCUAGCUGGAGAGUUAGAGAAGGGAAAGACUCAGUGGUUCAUUAUGUGGUUGAUAAUGAGGAUCUUGCCUAUUCCCUAGGUUGUACUCCAAUAAAUGUCCAGGUCCAGCCAGAUGGGCGUCCACAAGAGGCACUCUUUACUAUUAGAUCCCAACAAUAUCAAACUGGCACAUCGACACCAGUAAGUUGCUUGACAGGCUUAGGAUCCAAUUUGAGGAACAAUUUAGCUAAUCCUAUUGCUAUUGAUAGCCCAGCAGAAGUAAAGUAGGCAAGGGAAGGGUACCCAAAUACUACAAAGGCCCUAAAAAAGAAGGGGAAUAAGAGGGAUAAUGCAGAUAGAUAUAACAAGGGUCACUCAAAACUAAUCACUGUGGGCCGGCCAAGGAUAGAAACUACUAGCCAUCCGAGCCCUUUAAAGCAAGAAUCUUGCACGAAGACAAAUACAGAAAGGCCUCAGUUCACGCCUAUACCGAUGUCAUAUAGCGAGCUAUAUGAGAGCCUAUUUAAUGCAUACGUCGUUGCCCCUUUCUACUUAAAGCCUUUGCAACCUCCGUAUCCUAAAUGGUAUGAUGCAAAUGCUCAGUGUGAAUACCAUGCGAGAAUUGCGGGGCUUUCGAUAGAAAAUUGCACUACUUUCAAGAAACUAGUUGAGAGGUUCAUCAAUAGGGGUAUUGUCAAGUUUGAUGACUCAUCUAAUCUGCUACCCAAUCAUGUUAAUAAUGGGGUAAGAGUGAGAGCAAGAAGGGGAUUAGUUAUUUCUAAUUCAAGAGGUAACCAUAGAAAUGCAUUGAACCAUCGUGAGUUCCAUCACGAGAAGAGAUACGAGACCCAAGAGAGUGUGGAACUCAAGACCUUGGUUUCGGGCAUGAUUGAUGACAAAGAGAUGGAGUUUUGUGAGGAAAUUAAAGAGGAGAGAAAUAUACACACAAUGUUGAGAAGUGUUCACAUCAAUGCCAUAUAUGAAGACACUUGAAAAGGGACCUUGUUAGAUAUCCACUCUUAUAAAUUUGGGAGUAUUCUAAAAAUCAGAUUGUAGAGGAAAUUUCUGUAGUUUUAGAACUUACUUAGAGUAAUGUUCAAAACACACUUGUUGCUUUUAGCCUAGAGGCAAUAAGAAUUCCAUUGUGAAAUAGACUCAUGUUUGAACGUCAUUAUUCUAUGAAUACAUCUUUGCAUUCAUUUUUGAGCCAAUAUUCUUUCAUUCUUUUCGAAUAAUUCUAGAUUCUUUCAUUCUUUUGGAUUUUUUUCCAAAUCAUUCAUUCAUUUAAUUCAUAAUCAUAUUGUACAGAUAACUAUUCAUAAAUUUAUACAUUCUUUUGUUUAUUCUUUGGUAUUUAUUAUGGGCCCCCAAAUAUCAAUGACUUGAAUGACACUGCUACAGAUUUAGAAUCUCCUUUUGAGCAAGACAUGUGUUUAGAGGGAUCUCAUGACUUUGAAGAUGACAUAGAUCGUAGCCUAUCUCCAGACUUGUUGAGGAUGGUAGAGCAAGAAGAGAACAAAUUUUACCUCUUGAGGAGACACUGGAGAUUGUGACCUCGAGGGAACAUGUAUAACCGGAGAAACGAAGCAAGACUUUGUUAAGUUACUUCAAGAGUUCAAAGAUGUCUUCGUAUGGUUAUACCAGGAUAUGCCCAGGUUAAGCACUGAUAUUGUAAUCUGAGCAAUAGCACAACGUUAAAAAUUUGCAGUAUGUUCAAGAUUCACAUCAUGAACGAUACAGUUAGAAUUCUUUACCGAGGUAAUACCUUCUUCUCUGACUUAUCCCGUUGAAGUCAAGUUGUCAUUUUUUCGUAUUUUUGUUAGAUUUCAUCCUAAUUGAAGAAAAAGAUCCAAAGUUUUUUCAUCUUAGUUAAAUUUCGCCCUAAAAGGCUCUACGAGAGAAACCUAACACCAAAGAAGAUCUUUCGCAUGCAAAAUGAAAGUGGAAGAUCUUAUGGGGAAGACCUUAUCUAAAAUAAUAUUGAUUCUGAUCAAAAGGGAUGACCAGGAUUUGCCUAGUCCCAUGAAUGCAGAUUCAAUGCAAAAAAAAAACAAAAAAAACAAAAACAAAAGCAAAAACAAAAACAAAAAAAAGAGGGAAAAAGGAAAAAAAAAGAAGAACAAAAAACAAAAACAAAAAGAAACAAAAAAAACCUCCACCGGGGCAAUGCCUUUCUCUUUAGCUUAUCAUGGUUUUUCCAUUGAAGUUGAAAUUCUUUUUCUCUGGGUAUUGGCUGAGUUGAAGUAGGAUGAAGAUCCAAUCUCGAUAUGAUCAGUUGAACUUAAUUGAAGGAAAAAGGCUAAAAGUUAUUCGUCACGGUCAGAUGUACCAAAAACGGAUAAUGCGAGCUUACAACAAAAAGGUUCGUCUCAGAGAAUUCCACGACAGAGAUUUGGUAUUGAAAAGAUCCUUCAUCUACAAAAAGAUUUUUUAGAGAAAUGAGUGCCAAAUUGGGAAUGUCCUUAUGUUGUAAAGAAUACCUUCUCUGGAGGAGCACUGAUUUUGAGUGAGAUGGAUAGUAAAAACUUGUCUAAUCCUAUAAACUCAGAAUCAGUCAAGAAAUACUUCGCUUAAAGAAGGAGAGGACCAAGGUAAAAAUCCGCAAAGGGCACUUUGAGUCGCAAAAAAAAAAGAGAAGAAAAAAUAUGUGAAAAAAUAAAAAUGGAAAAAUGAAAAAUGAAAAAUAGAAAAAGUAAAAAUGGAGAGGCUAAUGUGAAAACUCGCAAAGGGCGCCUUAGACCAAAAGGGAUUUGAGUUGAAAACCCGAAAAGGGCGGCUCAAAUUUUGAUCAGAAUAGGGCUGGAAAUGAUCAGAGUGGCUCAGAUUUUGAUUGGAAUGGGGCGUGUGGUGGUCUUGAUAUACCUGAAUCAACAGGAAAGGGUAUGCGACAUCUUGGGGCAUCGACAAAGUUUGUAGAUAUCCUAAACACAUGUCAAACUCAGAAUGGUCUUUAGGAAGUUUGUACAGAGAAGUUCAAGCUGCGUUAUCUGGGGCACCUAGUCUUCAUACUAUUUAUAUUGAAUUGCUUAUUCUUGGAAUACUUCAUUCUUUUCAAGAUAUGAGUCAAUUCCUCUUUUAUUCUCAAUAUUAUUGAUAUAUUCAUUUCAAGCUAUGCUCUCAAAUCAAUUAUAUUUUAUCCAUUGUUUUAUUCUUUUGGCAAGCGUGUUGUAUUAGAAUAAUGAUUAAUGGACUAAUAAAACUUUCACAAAGGAAGUUUUACAUAUUACUCUAGAAGUUUCUAAAUAAUACAGGAACCUGAAACAAGUCUAUUGUUUAGAAUACACCUAGUUUAAAGGUGGGAAAUCUAAGAAGGAAGAGUCUUAAUUAAGACUAUCUCUUUGGAUUUUGUUGUCAAAGGCAUUAAUUGAACAAAAUGACAAGAUGUCGUGUUAGUGAUAAAGCUUCAUUGAGCAAAUAAGCAAUGAUGAUCAGGCAAUAGAAAGAGGUUACCUCGAAGAAGAGAGCCUUCAUUUUUGCAUGAGUCUUUGGUAUGACACCUUGGGAACGGUGUAAAGAACUAGAACAAUUUAGGUCUUGUAUCCUUGAAUUGUGAUAAGGAAGGAUUGAGGAAAAGCCACAUAUUUUUACCAUUGGGUUACGGUGGAAAAAUGAUGGUACAAUUUUUACAUCCCAGUGGAUUAAACUUUGAGGUUUACAGUGGGGGAAACCUGAUUAAAUGUUUCUUCUGAAAAGCCAGCUAAGCAAGAAGGCGUUAUAGCACGUCAGAGAUAAAGCCUUAAUAAACUUUGAGCAAUGAUAACCUAAGAAGGAUCAUUCUUGAAAAAAUAUAGAAUAAAAUUUUGCAUUCAUGCAAACACCAUUCACACCUGUCUAGUUAGGAGCAUUGGAUUCAUUUUGAUCAUGCCAUUAGGCAUAAUUAGGUUCAUUAUACAGGUUAUGUUUUAUAGAGAACAGAUCAGGGGAAAUGGCAGAUCUUGCCUUCCUGCAUAGACAGCGAAGCAGAUCAAAGAUGGCAGAUUUUACCUUCCUGUGGUUACAGUGGAGUACAUUGAAGCCAGUAAUUCUACUUCCCUGGGCAGCAAUGGAAUAGAUUGAAGAUUUCAGAUCUUGUCUCCCUAAGCAGUAGUGGAGCAGAUCAAAGAUGACAGAUUUUACCUCCCUGUGGUUAUAGUGGAGUACAUUGAAGCCAAUAAUUCUACUUCCUUGGGCAGCAGUGGAAUAGAGUGAAGAUUACAUAUCUUAUCUCCCUAAGAAGUAGCAGAGUAGAUCGAAUACACUAACCUUGCCUCCCUUGGUGGCAGCGGAGCAGGUUAAAAAAAAUUUACAGAUCUUAUCUCCCUAGGCAGUAGCGGAGUAGAUCGAAGACACUAACCUUGCCUCCCUCGGUGGCAGCGGAGCAGGUUAAAGAUAGCAAAUCUUACCUUCCUAUACUGACAGUGAAGCAGAUCGAAGACGCUAACCUUGCCUCCCUCGGUGGCAGCGGAGCAGGUUAAAAAAAUUACAGAUUUUAUCUUCCUAAGCAGUAGUGGAGCAGAUCGCAACCAGCCUUGUCUCCCUGGCAAUAGUGGAGUAGGUUGAAAAUAGCAGAUCUUGCCUUCCUGUACUGACAGAGAAGCAAAUCGAAGAUACUAACCUUGCCUCCCUCGGUGGCAGCGGAACAGGUUAAAGAUAGCAGAUCUUGCCUUCCUGUACUGGCAGUGAAGCAGAUCGAAGACACCAGUCUUAUCGCCUUGACGAUUGAAGCCACAAUGGCAAAUCUUAUUUCCUUGGCGUUGUAGCGGAGUAGAUUGAAGCCACGAAGGCGUAUAUUAUCUCCCUGGCGUUAAGGCUUGGUUUAGCUGAAGUGGAGCGGAUUGAAGUUGUGGGAAGCGAAUCCUAUCUCUUUGGCAUUACAGUGGAACGGAUUGAAGCCACAACGGCAGGUCUUAUCUCCCUGAGGUUGCAGUGGAGCGGAUUAAAACCACAGAUCUUACUCUCUGAAGUUGUAGAGAGCAGAUCGCAUCAGACUUAUUUUUAAAGUUUUAGCAAAAUAAGUUGAAGUUACAAGUCUUAUCUCCCUGAAGUUGCAGUGAGGCAGACUAAAGAUAACAGAUUUUGUUCUUUUUAGAAGCUACAAGGUACAAAUCUUAUCUCCCUGAUGUUGCACUGGAGUGGAUCAAAGUACCAAUUCUUAUACCUCUGAAGAUGCAAUUGGUUAGAACGAGGUUACUUGAAGAAGAGAAGCACUGAAGAAGUUGAGGCUCGGUAAGACCGGACACAAUUGGGCUUUUUAGUCUUUGCUCUGUUCCCAUUACAUGACAACGAGCAAAGAGGGGCAGCUGUAAUACCCAAUUGGUGCUUAGGGCCCAAACUUAAUACAAACCCAAAUACAACACUCAGCCCAAAUACUUUUAAAUCCAAAAAAUGGCCCAAAACACAAUAAUCCACACUGGCCCAAUACCUAGCCCUAACAAUUCUCAACAGUAGAAACCCUAGGUAGUUUUCGUGCUUCAGUGCCGCAGUAACCGCUUCCACGCCCCACGUUCAGCACACGCGCAUGUCCUCCACGACCUUUACACCUACGGAAAAACUAAUCCAAACGACAGUAGAUGUGGCAAAUAACGGGAUAGAUAGUUUUU
rnacentral:lncRNA from 1 species